AGCCCAAACCAAGAGGCUUGCCUCUUGGGGUUGUAGGACACUCUGUACGGAGUUACAAAGGAACGAGGUAGAUGAAGAGGUCUGGAAAGGCCCGCCAUAGGAGGUAACAGCCCUGUAGUCAAAACUUCGUUCUCUCCUGAGUGGAUCCUGAGUACGGCGGAACACGUGAAAUUCCGUCGGAAUCCGGGAGGACCAUCUCCCAAGGCUAAAUACUCCCUAGUGACCGAUAGUGAACCAGUACCGUGAGGGAAAGGUGAAAAGCACCCCGGAAGGGGAGUGAAAGAGAUCCUGAAACCGUGUGCCUACAAGUAGUCAGAGCCCGUUAACGGGUGAUGGCGUGCCUUUUGUAGAAUGAACCGGCGAGUUACGAUCCCGUGCAAGGUUAAGCAGAAGAUGCGGAGCCGCAGCGAAAGCGAGUCUGAAUAGGGCGCAUGAGUACGUGGUCGUAGACCCGAAACCAGGUGAUCUACCCAUGUCCAGGGUGAAGUUCAGGUAACACUGAAUGGAGGCCCGAACCCACGCACGUUGAAAAGUGCGGGGAUGAGGUGUGGGUAGGGGUGAAAUGCCAAUCGAACCUGGAGAUAGCUGGUUCUCUCCGAAAUAGCUUUAGGGCUAGCCUCAAGGUAAGAGUCUUGGAGGUAGAGCACUGAUUGGACUAGGGGCCCCUACCGGGUUACCGAAUUCAGUCAAACUCCGAAUGCCAAUGACUUAUCCUUGGGAGUCAGACUGCGAGUGAUAAGAUCCGUAGUCGAAAGGGAAACAGCCCAGACCGCCAGCUAAGGUCCCAAAGUAUACGUUAAGUGGAAAAGGAUGUGGAGUUGCUUAGACAACCAGGAUGUUGGCUUAGAAGCAGCCACCAUUUAAAGAGUGCGUAAUAGCUCACUGGUCGAGUGACUCUGCGCCGAAAAUGUACCGGGGCUAAACGUAUCACCGAAGCUGCGGACUGUUCUUCGAACAGUGGUAGGAGAGCGUUCUAAGGGCUGUGAAGCCAGACCGGAAGGACUGGUGGAGCGCUUAGAAGUGAGAAUGCCGGUAUGAGUAGCGAAAGAGGGGUGAGAAUCCCCUCCACCGAAUGCCUAAGGUUUCCUGAGGAAGGCUCGUCCGCUCAGGGUUAGUCGGGACCUAAGCCGAGGCCGAAAGGCGUAGGCGAUGGACAACAGGUUGAUAUUCCUGUACCACCUCCUCACCAUUUGAGCAAUGGGG
rnacentral:rRNA from 1 species